UGCAGGACCAAGCAUGCUCAGUGCAAAAAAGCUUCGCUGCCCUGCCUGUCAAGCCCGAGGUUUGAACUCGGUCCAGAACGCCGGAUUUACUUUUCAGGAAGAAACCCUACCUGCCUGGGCUGCUUUCUUUUAAUUCUCCCUUCCCUCCUCCUCAGAGGAGCGCAAACAAUGUUCUUUUGAUGCUUUCCUGCGAGUGGGAAUCUCGCCCUGGAGAAGGAGACAAAACUUUGCUACCUGUGAAACGAAGACUGCUUAGGUAGCAGUGGAAAUGAAAGCAAAUCUGUUUGGCCACACAGGCUCCACAAAUGUGAAUUCCUGGAAGAAACUGGAAAAAUUUGGAAAAUAGCCCAGGGGUGCUGGAUAAAUACCUGGAAUGUCCAGGACCCCAGGAAGGUGAAUCCAACCUGCCCAGGGCAUUUGGUCUCUGCUCCCUGGGGAAUGAACACAAGAGUCCAGACCCCUGUUGCAUCAUCUCUUCUGUGGUUUUAGAUGACAAAAAGAUAAUUAAAAUAAUUGUCUUUUUACUAAAUGUAAGGUUUUGAUAGCAAACCUUAAGUAGGGUUGAUCUGGGGAUGUUUUAUGGGCAACCAAAAAUCCUGACCUCUCCUGGAUGGGUGUUAAAGCUCCUGCACAUCCUCCCGUGAGCCCAAACAGCUGAAAUUCCUCAUUUUGUGCCUCUGGAGCUCUGAACCCACUCAGAGCAUGCUCAGCCUGUUGUAAUGCACUGCUGAAAAAAGCAGUGCUCACUUUGGAGUUCAAUAAUAAUGGUAAUUUCACAGCCUGAUGUCAGGGUAAUAAACUCUUCCACCGGGCAACUGCUGUGACCACCAGGAAAGUUUUAUUUCUCCAGGUUCAACAGUUUCCCUGUGACUGAUGGAGCCUUGGAGGAGAGGUGACUUCCCUCCAAAAGGAGCACUGAUAUUUCUGUGUUUGCAGUUAAGGCUCACUAACCACUGGCAUCAAUCUGAUAAGCAUCUGAUGGGGCCCAAUUAUGCCAUUCCUCAGCUUUGGAGUGAAUAAAAUUUAUUUUCUAGCCCACA